AGUAAUCCUCAUAUCACCCUCGCUGCUUGCCGUAGCGGACGGCAGGGCCGUAGUCCUGCCGCCACGGAACGGGGAGCAAACGAGGUGGUGGCUGAGUCCCGUGGGAACACAGCCACCCGUGACGCACCGUCUGAAUCAUCACCGCCCGCAGUGCGGGCAGGACGUAUCCACAACGUCUGCCCCAGCGUACUGGAAGCAGGCAUCGUGUCCGUCCCCCUCCUCGAUGAGUGUGUUGCACCCAUGAGAACAGCGGGACAUGCCACGCUGGAGAAAUUUGCUCUUUUAGAAAGGAAAUUUGCUCGAACACCUCCGGAACUGCUGAGACGCCCAGGGGAGAGUCACUGCAGGAAGGGACCGUCCGCUGUCCACGUCGUAGAUUCCAGCAGAAAAAUGAUCACCAAAGAUCGUAAAGAAGCUCAUCAGAUGCGUAGUCUCUGAAGAACAAAAGGUGAAUGAAUGAGCAUUUCAUUUCAUUCGCCAAUUUUCAUUGGCCUUUUCUAAAUACUCAGAAGAUGAUAGGUUCUCAAGACAAACCCCAUUCUGUCGGUUCGACACAACGUCGAGAGACCGACAGAAAGGGAACCAUACUUCUUAAUAAUAUCUCUUAUAUCCUCCUCAUUGUACAAUAUUACUUUAUAGCCUACAUACUGAUGUUUAGCCCACGUCACCUGACCAGUGCAUAUAGCCAAGCAUGAAUGUCAUUACUGUCUGUAUGGUUUUGUGAAAUGGUAACAGUAACUACACAAAUAUAAUUAAAUGUGUUUCCGUGUGUUUCUGUAGGAUAAGGCUGAAGUAAAAGUGCGCUGGUUGCCUUGUUCUCAUUGUGGCAAAGCCUGGGAGGACACGUGGGAGCCGGCAAGCAAGUUCCCUUUCUGAGCUUAGCACAGGACUCUACAGCAGUGACCUGAAGUUUAAAAGAACAUAAAUAAAACAAUUAUACACACACACACGGACCCAUGUAUAGGUAUGUUUCAGUUAAAUUUCCCCUAGUUUUUUUCAGGUUCUUCCUCUUGAAAUCUGUCACGGACUGGCAGAAAGAAGAACCCAAGCGCAGGCAACGGCAGUGAAGGGGUUAACAGAAACGUUUAAUAAACAAUAACAGAAACAAAACACCCACGAGGGGGUAACAAGGACACGACUAAGGCAAAAACUGAAAACAAAACACCUCCCUCGGUGGGGCAAAAAUAAAAGGACAAAAUAAAACAACUAUGACACAACGUCUACUAACAGGCACACAAGCACAAUAAAACAAUACAAAGGCACAGCAAAACUCACUAAGCGAGGACUGGGGCACGAACGGACACACAUCAUGACGUAGUACAAUCCACGAGCACAAGACAAAGAAACAAGAGGGUAUAUAUAGGGGAAGACAAACGAGGGAUAACGACAAUGGACAGGUGUGGGACAUUAAACACGCAGGGAAACAUAACGAGGAAACAAGAGGAAUAGGGCCAAUGACAAGACACUGGAGAGAACGUAUAUUAUAGUCAAACGGACAAUAAUAUGUUUCUCUCCACACAUAACCAAAGACUUUGUCAUGACUCUGCUACAGGACCAAGAAAAACAUGACUAUGGAAGCAGAGCCAUGACAGAAAUCAUUAUCCAUGCCUGAAAAUACAUAUAUAGAGAGAACUAAUAAUAUUCUUGACACAUUAAAUUCAUAUUCAGUGUUCUAUAGCAUUUCUAAUUGUUCAUAUGUAUUGAUUAUUAUCAAACGUUUUACCUCUGAGCUGUCAUUGCACGCCAUAAACCACAAACCUGAUGACUUUGACACUUAAAUUAGGACAUUCAGUAUACACAUGCAAUGUGCUGAUUUUAGUGUGUGUUCAACUUAUUCUGUGUCUGAUUGCUGUAUAUUUGUUCAUAUUUGUUGUUUGUCUUUACUGUCUUUCAAAUGGCACUAAAUUUGUCUCCACCUCAAUUUGUUGGACUUGUGCUAUGAGAUAUUUUAUUUCUGACUUUGGUUCUAAUAAAACACUGUUAAUUAGUUCUUGAAAAUUUGGCUAUUCUCUCUGUUUUCAAACUCUGCGCCAACAUUACUUUCACAUAUCAAUAAAUAGUGUCCCUAUGGGUGUCAGAGGGGAAGGAAUAUGGACGCUUGGACAAGAUCCCAUGCGUAAUUACAGCUUGGAUCAAAUAUGCCCAAGACAUCUGUUGGACCAGGACAUGGACUCUGCCCAGUAAAUUCCUGCUUGUCAACAAAUUAAAGAGGUUUCUUUUAAAAGUAUCCAUCGCUGCUAUCCUGUUAAAUCUUUAUUAGUUAAAUUCAGAAAAGAUAUCGAUGAAAUCUCUAUUGAAAUGUACUUUCUCUUUAACACAUACAGAGACUGUCUUUUGUAUAACACCUGGCUUAUAGGUACUGCAUCUCUUCAACUUUGUUUUAUUAUCACACUUAAUGCUCUUAGAUAAAACUUCAGCCUCAUGUGUAUUCUAUUCUUUUGGGUCUUGGAUGUUUACCCACAGCCUGUUGAGCGGAUACAAGGAAUAGGCUAAACUUGGAAGACAAACUAAGCAUGACGUGUAGUCUUGGAUUAGGAUACUUUCUUUACAGAUCCUGGUGAUAUUCUUUUUAAUAAAAUGGAAAUAUUAACCACAGCACAGUGAUCAAAGUAGACUAAUUCCCUAUCACAAAGACUGACCAAAUGGCUUGAUGGUAACCUUGUCAAUUUGUCUGUCUGUCUUUCAUUCUCUGUCUCUCUUUCUCUGUCUCUCAUUUGCCGCUGUACAUCCUUGGCCAACACCUAUGGGAUGAUGGUCAUGCAUGAAUUCUCCAUCAUCUUAAAGCUGAAGCUGCAGGACUACACUGCUGCCCUCGUACUAUAUUGGAACAGUUUUGCCAUUGUGAAUUUCAUGAGGAAAAGUGUCUGCCUGCGCAGGAAAUUGAUGCACUCUAGCCUGGUAGUGAGCCACGUAGAGCAACAUGCAGCAGUGAGCAGUGCACACCAGCUUUGCAGCAUAGAGGCAAGCGACGUUUCCCAGUCUGGCAGCACGGCAGCAAGCAAUGCACCCCAGCUUGGCAGUGCAGCGGGGAGGGACACACCCCAGACUGGCAAUGUUGCAAACAGAGGAACAAGACAAUGAAGAGGAAGACCAUUGCAAUAGCAGUCCAAAUGUAUUGCUAGUGUACCAAGCCUAGACCCAACCAGCUUCUCCAGAACUGUCUGCCAGUGAACACUUCUGGUCUUGCUACCAACCUCAGAGGGCCAUUGGUCCUGGAACUGUAUAACCACAUCAAGGAGAUUGGAGGUCUCAGGAACCUAGCGGUUAGAGAGGAUGUGUGUUGCGCUGAAAUAACUAAUGACAAUUCUGCUGUAGAAUGGACUGAAGGUUCCAUAAGCAAUCUGAAGGCUGUGCUACAUUGAGCAUUUACCAUUAUUGUUAUAAUCAGAUUGUAACCAGAUUUAAUGAUAAAAUAAUUUGGUUUUUAUACUUAAUUUAUGUUUAUUUAUUUAUUUUAUAUCACACUUGGUCCUUAUUUGUGUUAAUUCUAAUCUCUAUUUUUGUCUCUAUUUUUAUGAACUGGGACUGAAUACUCUGUAACCCCAAUAAGUGAUUACCAUUAUUUAUGACAAUCAUGGAAACUGUAACUGGAUUCUGAUAGCUUUCUAUUUUCAUACAGUUUAAAUAUUUCAUGGUUUUAUUGUCGUCAUUCUUUCGGAAUUUGUCUAAUUUCUGCAUUAACUUAAUUCACCGUUUUAUGGAAUGA